GAUGACUGAGGAGGGAAACAACAGGAUCAGGAAUGGCGACUUGAACGUGAAUAACGAGAAUAACUAGAGAGGUCGGAGGAUAACUUAACCAGGUAAGUAUAGCUGACGAUCUGGCGACGAAUGGUUGAAUGACUGGGGAAGAUAUACAGGUGGGCGUGAUUGGUGAUGAUGGUCAGGUGCGGAUGAUCACCGUGGCUGGGUUGGGGAGUUCAGCAGGCCACGCCCCCGUACAUGAAACAGAACAUGACAGAGACAGACAAGACUAAAGGCGGCUGCAUGCUUCAGCGUUGGUGUUACGUUGUUGCGCAAAAUUUACUCAAAGCAAUUCAUGCUCCCUUUUAGGUUGCGCGUGUUGCGCGUGUUGCCAAGCAAUUUACCGCCAGAACAGUAGGUGGAGUAAUAUGUGGAGUAAAGUUUUUCGUUGAAGACGACCUCGAGAAUGACGUCUUUGUCUGUGGGAGUCGUUGGUUUGUUUAUGUGCCAGAUCGUGUUCUCCCCAUACACAGUGAAUGGUGGCAACAGACAGAGGAACAGGGGUGAUGAAGUUGUUCAUCAUUGGGGUUGUAUAAAUGUGCAUAUCUCUCUACAUUUUAAAACGACAUAAUGUGUUGGCAGCAAAGUUAACUUCACUUCACGUUAAUGCUUUUGUGUAUGAGCCUGCCGGGUCGUCCUUGCCUUCUGGCUUUUAAAAAUGGCGGUAUGAAAACAGGAAAUGUGAUACUCCAGACAGGAAGUAGUAACCAGACCAGCAGACCAAUCACAGGCUUGCAGGCUGCGCUGCUCGCGUAAAAGCUUACGUAAAAAAUGACGCAAGUCUAGAAAAAUCGCCCGACGCACGCAAGACGUGAGAAGUCGCGCAAGAGGUGCGCAAGGGCGCGCAAGGGCCUCUUGCGCUUGCGCUUAUGCUUACGUAACUGAGCAUAAAUCGGCCUUAACAGAGAAAACUAGUGGCAGCUAGGAUCCGGUGGGAGAAAACAUGACAAAUUCAGGCCGUGUUUGACUUUGUGGGACAAGAUGAUGGUGCGAGUGAAAUCUUUGUGGUACAAGAAGCCACAUCAUCAAGAUCAAUUGAGAGCAGUUCUGCCGGGUCAAUAAUCGAUCAUGGCAUAAAACCAUCCUCAACGCUAUACGUACUUUGGUUUUCAAAUCAGCAUGUACAGGAAAUUCUCUCGGGUCAAUGAAUUGAUGGUGCUCAUGCCCUAAACAAUCCUGGUCAGUCGUAGCUGUCUGAGCCCUCCACCCAGCCAAGUCUCUCUGUGUCCUCCACCCACUCACUGCUGUCUGAGCCCUCUCUCCAGCCACUACCAUCUGAGAACUCUAUCCAGCCAUCGCUCACUCUGAUCUCACAACCGCAAGAAAUCCUGACUGUUGAAGAACCAUCACUCCCUCCUUCACCUGCCCAGGAACCAAUCAUUCAUCUUGACGAACAAGAGACAGUUUCAUAAAAUCAGUCUCCUGUAUCAACACAUCACCUUGGAGGACCUGUGGAUGAGAUUGAUCUACAGACCAUCAGCAAAGUAGAUGACAACUUCUCUCCAACAAGCAACCAAAUAAAUGUGUGCCCGGACAAUGUUUUACUAUGUAGCCUGCGGGCGUUUAAACUGAAGUCCUUCGACCCUGAAGCAAAACUGGAUGUUGUCUUUGUGGAUGAAGAUGACAAUGGUGAAGGGGCAGUUGACGAAGGCGGCCCGACCAGAGAGUACCUAAGGCUGUUGAUGAGGGCCGUCCGCCAAUCAAACAUCUGUGAUGGACAUGAGAAAGAGCGGCAGUUGCGUCUUGAUACUCAAGCUUUACAGAGUAAACUGUACACCUGGGUGGGGAAAAUGAUUGCUGUGUGCGUCAUUCAUGGAGGAGUUGGUCCACAUUUCUUCUCGGAAAGGCUUUUCCAGCAAAUCUGUGGAGUAGAAACGACCCCGGCCACGGUCGAUGAAGUUGGCGACCAUACUUUGGCGGCAGCAGUUGAUGAAAAUACAGUAAGCAACAACAGUCAGAGAGGCAAACAACACAAUUACAGAGGCAGCAGAUAGUCUCAAUAUUGUAGGGGCCUUGAGACAUGUGUCCAGCCUUGAAGAGAAGGACUCCCUUGUCAAGUCAGCUGCUGACUUCUUUGUAAACGGCAGAUUGGCGACUGCCCUGGACCAGUUUGCUGAUGGGUUACAAACCCUUGGAUUACUCCAAGAGAUUAGGGAGAAUCCGGCAGUAUUCUUCCACUUCUUUGUAAAUGAGGAAAUUCCCCUUCAGGCAAAGGACCUGUGCAAGCUAUUUGUUGUAGACUUCUCAGUGCAAGGCAGCAACCGGAGAAACCGUGAAAAUGCAACCAUCUGCUUCUGGCGUGACUGGUUGAUUGACGUAGAAGAAGGAGAAUGCAGUCCAGUCACCCUUGAGAGGGUAUUGGAAUUUUCAUCUGGAGCCUCUAAAGUCCCUCCACUGGGAUUUCCAUACCCUCCUCAAAUCCAGUUCAUUCAUGAAGACAACCGA